AUCCAUUUGCUCAGUUUAAGUGACAACAUGCAUGAUAGCUAGCCAAACAAGAAAGUGAUAGGACUAAAAGGAAUAAAAUAAUCAAGGAAUGUUAUAAAACUAUAGUUGAAAAAGAAUAUAGCUGAUAAAUGGAUGGCACAAAUGAGACCAUUCUCUUCCUUCUUGCUUACUGCAUGCAAGGAGAGACAAUAUUUCCUCCUGUGCCUUCCUUUCCUAAUUUGUAGCUUUUAUCUGUUCUUACUAUUUUGAGUCAGAACAAUGGUAUGCCUUACCGUAGCUUUAAUAUGGUAAGAAACUAAUAUUAAUCUAUAUUUUGAAUGCCUCCCUCGAUCUCGUCUAACUGAUAUUUUUAGAAAAAUGCAAUAGCUGCAGUAGCCACUGGGUAAGAGAAAUUGGACAAUGGAACUCUA
rnacentral:misc_RNA from 1 species